GGAUUAGAUACCCUGGUAGUCCACGCCGUAAACGAUGAGAACUUGCUGUUGGGGUCUUUCGGGAUCUCAGUAGCGUAGCUAACGCGGUAAGUUCUCCGCCUGGGGAGUAUGGUCGCAAGACUAAAACUCAAAGGAAUUGACGGGGACCCGCACAAGCGGUGGAGCAUGUGGUUUAAUUCGAUGCAACGCGAAGAACCUUACCUGGUCUUGACAUACUCGGAACUUUCUAGAAAUAGAUUGGUGCCUUCGGGAGCCGAGAUACAGGUGCUGCAUGGCUGUCGUCAGCUCGUGCCG
rnacentral:rRNA from 1 species